rnacentral:rRNA from 1 species
AGUGAACGCUGGCGGUAGGCCUAACACAUGCAAGUCGAACGGCAGCACAGGAGAGCUUGCUCUCUGGGUGGCGAGUGGCGGACGGGUGAGGAAUACAUCGGAAUCUACUCUGUCGUGGGGGAUAACGUAGGGAAACUUACGCUAAUACCGCAUACGACCUACGGGUGAAAGCAGGGGACCUUCGGGCCUUGCGCGAUUGAAUGAGCCGAUGUCGGAUUAGCUAGUUGGCGGGGUAAAGGCCCACCAAGGCGACGAUCCGUAGCUGGUCUGAGAGGACGAUCAGCCACACUGGAACUGAGCAACGGUCCAGACUCCUACGGGAGGCAGCAGUGGGGAAUAUUGGACAAUGGGCGCAAGCCUGAUCCAGCCAUACCGCGUGGGUGAAGAAGGCCUUCGGGUUGUAAAGCCCUUUUGUUGGGAAAGAAAUCCAGCUGGCUAAUACCCGGUUGGGAUGACGGUACCCAAAGAAUAAGCACCGGCUAACUUCGUGCCAGCAGCCGCCGUAA